AUGAGCUUUGAAUGGGAGGAUUUAUUCCCCCUAGUUAUGGUCCGUAAGUUGGUUAGAGAUGUUUCUGAUCAUAACCCUCUUUUACUUUCCUCGGGGGCGAAAAAACUUGACACCCCACAUCAACGGGAGUUCAGGUUUGAACUCAGUUGGUUGAGAGAUGAGAAUUUCUAUCCUACAGCCAAAAGGAUUUGGGAGCAGCCAGUUCGAGCUACAGACCCUAUAGAUGUUCUUAACAUCAAAUUGAAACGGCUUAAGAAAUACUUUAAAGGGUGGGGCUCUCAUACUUUU
rnacentral:rRNA from 1 species